rnacentral:rRNA from 1 species
AGAUGGUGAACUAUGCCUGAAUAGGGCGAAGCCAGGGGAAACCCUGGUGGAAGCCCGCAGCGAUUCUGACGUGCAAAUCGAUCGUCAAAUUUGGGUAUAGGGGCGAAAGACUAAUCGAACCAUCUAGUAGCUGGUUCCCUCCGAAGUUUCCCUCAGGAUAGCUGGAGCCCGGUGGCAGUUUUAUCAGGUAAAGCGAAUGAUUAGAGGUCUUGGGGUCGAAACGACCUCAACCUAUUCUCAAACUUUAAAUGGGUAAGAAGUCCGGCUUGCUCGAUUGAAGUCGGACGCGGAAUGCCGGGGUUCCUAGUGGGCCAUUUUUGGUAAGCAGAACUGGCGAUGUGGGAUGAACCGAAAGCCGGGUUAAGGUGCCCGAAUCGACGCUCAGCA